AAAUUGAAGAGUUUGAUCAUGGCUCAGAUUGAACGCUGGCGGCAGGCCUAACACAUGCAAGUCGAGCGGUAGCACAGAGAGCUUGCUCUCGGGUGACGAGCGGCGGACGGGUGAGUAAUGUCUGGGAAACUGCCUGAUGGAGGGGGAUAACUACUGGAAACGGUAGCUAAUACCGCAUAACGUCGCAAGACCAAAGUGGGGGACCUUCGGGCCUCAUGCCAUCAGAUGUGCCCAGAUGGGAUUAGCUAGUAGGUGGGGUAACGGCUCACCUAGGCGACGAUCCCUAGCUGGUCUGAGAGGAUGACCAGCCACACUGGAACUGAGACACGGUCC
rnacentral:rRNA from 1 species